rnacentral:rRNA from 1 species
CCUACGGGGGGCUGCAGUGAGGAAUAUUGGUCAAUGGCCGGAAGGCUGAACCAGCCAUGCCGCGUGAAGGUCAGUGCCCUAUGGGCGUUACACUUCCUUUGUGCGGGAGCCAUAAUGGUCACGUGUGGCCAGACGAGAGUACCGUACGAAUAAGCAUCGGCUAACUCCGUGCCAGCAGCCGCGGUAAUACGGGGGAUGCAAGCGUUAUCCGGAUUUAUUGGGUUUAAAGGGUGCGCAGGCUGUGAGGUAAGUCAGUUGUGAAAGUUUGCGGCUCAACCGUAAAAUUGCAAUUGAUACUGGCAGCCUUGAGUACGGUUGAGGUAGGCGGAAUUCGUGGUGUAGCGGUGAAAUGCUUAGAUAUCACGAAGAACUCCGAUUGCGAAGGCAGCCUACUAAACUGCCACUGACAUUGAUGCUCGAAAGUGUGGGUAUCAAACAGGAUUAGAUACCCCUGUAGUC